UACAACCUCAUAAAGGCUCCAACAUCAGAAUCUGGAUCGAUUACGAAUCAGCUUUGCCUCUCCCUCACUCUCUUUAUGCAGUCUCUAAAACACCAUCCGCUUAUUUUGGGAGUGUUUUGGCAUUUCAGUAGGACCAGAUUUUAUGCAUCUGUUCUCAUACUUGGUGCUGAAGAAUUAUGAGGAAGAACAAGUCAAAAGAGAGGAUUCCACAAAGGAACAACCAAGCCAAAUGCAGAUUUAGAAAUUUGAAGGCAUAACUGGAAAACGCAUGAGAGAAAUGAAAAGAAUUCAACUUACACCUGAAUUAAGGGUACUGGUAUAUAUUUCUACUUUUGCUUCUUAUCCUCACAUGCAGCUCAGAUGAAAGAACUGAAAUCCAGUGACACAGGAGACCGUCGCCGGCCUGGUCGCACGUCACCCUAGGGUCACAAAAGUUCGUCGUUCAACGACGGGUGAG